CGUAGGGGCGAAGCGUUAUCCGGAUUUACUGGGUGUAAAGGGAGCGUAGACGGAAUGGCAAGUCUGAUGUGAAAGGCCGGGGCGUCAACCCCGGGACUGCAUUGGAAACUGUCAAUCUAGAGUACCGGAGGGGUAAGUGGAAUUCCUAGUGUAGCGGUGAAAUGCGUAGAUAUUAGGAGGAACACCAGUGGCGAAGGCGGCUUACUGGACGGUAACUGACGUUGAGGCUCGAAAGCGUGGGGAGCAAACAGGAUU
rnacentral:rRNA from 1 species